GGGUUGUGAGGUUAAGCGACCAAGCGUACACGGUGGAUGCCCUGGCAGUCAGAGGCGAUGAAGGACGUGCUAAUCUGCGAAAAGCGCCGGCGAGGUGAUAUGAACCCUUGACCCGGCGAUGUCCGAAUGGGGAAACCCGGUGCAUUACGGUGCAUCAUCGUUUGAUGAAUACAUAGUCAAACGAGGCGAACCGGGGGAACUGAAACAUCUAAGUACCCCGAGGAAAAGAAAUCAACCGAGAUUCCCCCAGUAGCGGCGAGCGAACGGGGAGGAGCCCAGAGCCUGAAUCAGCUUGUGUGUUAGUGGAAGCGUCUGGAAAGUCGCACGGUACAGGGUGAAAGUCCCGUACACGAAAAUGCACAGGCUGUGAGCUCGAUGAGUAGGGCGGGACACGUGGUAUCCUGUCUGAAUAUGGGGGGACCAUCCUCCAAGGCUAAAUACUCCUGACUGACCGAUAGUGAACCAGUACCGUGAGGGAAAGGCGAAAAGAACCCCGGCGAGGGGAGUGAAAAAGAACCUGAAACCGUGUACGUACAAGCAGUGGGAGCCUCUUUAUGGGGUGACUGCGUACCUUUUGUAUAAUGGGUCAGCGACUUAUAUUCUGUAGCAAGGUUAACCGUAUAGGGGAGCCGAAGGGAAACCGAGUCUUAACCGGGCGUUAAGUUGCAGGGUAUAGACCCGAAACCCGGUGAUCUAGCCAUGGGCAGGUUGAAGGUUGGGUAACACUAACUGGAGGACCGAACCGACUAAUGUUGAAAAAUUAGCGGAUGACCUGUGGCUGGGGGUGAAAGGCCAAUCAAACCGGGAGAUAGCUGGUUCUCCCCGAAAGCUAUUUAGGUAGCGCCUCGUGAAUUCAUCUCCGGGGGUAGAGCACUGUUUCGGCUAGGGGGCCAUCCCGGCUUACCAACCCGAUGCAAACUGCGAAUACCGGAGAAUGUUAUCA
rnacentral:rRNA from 1 species